rnacentral:rRNA from 1 species
AAGGAGCGAUCUGGAGCAAAACCCAAAAAAGCAGUCUCAGUUCGGAUUGAAGGCUGAAAUUCGCCUUCAUGAAGCCGGAAUUGCUAGUAAUGGCAGGUCAGCAUACUGCCGUGAAUACGUUCCCGGGCCUUGUACACACCGCCCGUCACACCAUGAGAGUUGGGAAUACCCGAAGCCUGUGAGCUAACUUUUAGAGGCAGCAGUCGAAGGUAGAAUCAAUGAUUGGGGUGAAGUCGUAACAAGGUAUC